rnacentral:rRNA from 1 species
UAGGGAAUCUUCGGCAAUGGAGGCAACCCUGACCGAGCAACGCCGCGUGAGUGAAGAAGGUUUUCGGAUCGUAAAGCUCUGUUGUAAGAGAAGAACGAGUGUGAGAGUGGAAAGUUCACACUGUGACGGUAACUUACCAGAAAGGGACGGCUAACUACGUGCCAGCAGCCGCGGUAAUACGUAGGUCCCGAGCGUUAUCCGGAUUUAUUGGGCGUAAAGCGAGCGCAGGCGGUUAGAUAAGUCUGAAGUUAAAGGCUGUGGCUUAACCAUAGUACGCUUUGGAAACUGUUUAACUUGAGUGCAGAAGGGGAGAGUGGAAUUCCAUGUGUAGCGGUGAAAUGCGUAGAUAUAUGGAGGAACACCGGUGGCGAAAGCGGCUCUCUGGUCUGUAACUGACGCUGAGGCUCGAAAGCGUGGGGAGCAAACAGGAUUAGAUACCCUGGUAGUCCACGCCGUAAACGAUGAGUGCUAGGUGUUGGGUCCUUUCCGGGACUCAGUGCCGCAGCUAACGCAUUAAGCACUCCGCCUGGGGAGUACGACCGCAAGGUUG